rnacentral:rRNA from 1 species
UGACAGUACUCCUACGGGGAGGCAGCAGUGAGGAAUAUUGGUCAAUGGGCGCAAGCCUGAACCAGCCAUGUCGCGUGCAGGAAGACUGCCCUAUGGGUUGUAAACUGCUUUUAUAUGGGAAGAAUGUGAGCUACGAGUAGCUUUUUGCCGGUACCAUAUGAAUAAGCAUCGGCUAACUCCGUGCCAGCAGCCGCGGUAAUACGGAGGAUGCAAGCGUUAUCCGGAUUCAUUGGGUUUAAAGGGUGCGUAGGCGGAAUAGUAAGUCAGGGGUGAAAGUUUGCGGCUCAACCGUAAAAUUAGCCUUUGAUACUGUUAUUCUUGAGUACAUUUGAGGUAGGCGGAAUGUGUUGUGUAGCGGUGAAAUGCUUAGAUAUAACACAGAACACCGAUUGCGAAGGCAGCUUACUAAACUGUAACUGACGCUGAUGCACGAAAGCGUGGGGAUCGAACAGGAUUAGAUACCCUGGUAG